rnacentral:rRNA from 1 species
AGCAGCCGCGGUAAUUCCAGCUCCAAUAGCGUAUAUUAAAGUUGUUGCAGUUAAAAAGCUCGUAGUUGAAUUUUGGGUUUGGCCAAUUGGUCCGUUCUUGUAACGAGUACUGGUUGGUUGGGCCUCACCGCCUGGUGAUACGUAAUGUCCUUUAUUGGGUGUUGCGAGUAGCCAGGACCUUUACCUUGAAAAAAUUAGAGUGUUUAAAGCAGGCUUAUGCCGGAAUACAUUAGCAUGGAAUAAUAGAAUAGGACGAUGAUUCUAUUUUGUUGGUUUCUAGGAGCAUCGUAAUGAUUAAUAGGGAUAGUUGGGGGCAUUAGUAUUCAAUUGUCAGAGGUGAAAUUCUUGGAUUUAUUGAAGGCUAAACUACUGCGAAAGCAUUUGCCAAGGAUGUUUUCAUUAAUCAAAGAACGAAAGUUAGGGGAUCGAAGACGAUCAGAUACCGUCGUAGUCUUAACCAUUAAACUAUGCCGACUAGGGGAUCGGAUGAUGUUAAUUUUAAUGUACUCUA